GGGUUGUGAGGUUAAGCGACUAAGCGUACACGGUGGAUGCCCUGGCAGUCAGAGGCGAUGAAGGACGUGCUAAUCUGCGAUAAGCGCCGGUAAGGUGAUAUGAACCGUUAUAACCGGCGAUUUCCGAAUGGGGAAACCCAGUGUGAUUCGUCACACUAUCAUUAACUGAAUCCAUAGGUUAAUGAGGCGAACCGGGGGAACUGAAACAUCUAAGUACCCCGAGGAAAAGAAAUCAACCGAGAUUCCCCCAGUAGCGGCGAGCGAACGGGGAGGAGCCCAGAGCCUGAAUCAGCAUGUGUGUUAGUGGAAGCGUCUGGAAAGGCGCGCGAUACAGGGUGACAGCCCCGUACACAAAAGCGCAUGUGCUGUGAGCUCGAUGAGUAGGGCGGGACACGUGGUAUCCUGUCUGAAUAUGGGGGGACCAUCCUCCAAGGCUAAAUACUCCUGACUGACCGAUAGUGAACCAGUACCGUGAGGGAAAGGCGAAAAGAACCCCGGCGAGGGGAGUGAAAAAGAACCUGAAACCGUGUACGUACAAGCAGUGGGAGCACCCUUCGGGGUGUGACUGCGUACCUUUUGUAUAAUGGGUCAGCGACUUAUAUUCUGUAGCAAGGUUAACCGUAUAGGGGAGCCGGAGGGAAACCGAGUCUUAAUUGGGCGUUAAGUUGCAGGGUAUAGACCCGAAACCCGGUGAUCUAGCCAUGGGCAGGUUGAAGGUUGGGUAACACUAACUGGAGGACCGAACCGACUAAUGUUGAAAAAUUAGCGGAUGACCUGUGGCUGGGGGUGAAAGGCCAAUCAAACCGGGAGAUAGCUGGUUCUCCCCGAAAGCUAUUUAGGUAGCGCCUCGUGAAUUCAUCUCCGGGGGUAGAGCACUGUUUCGGCUAGGGGGCCAUCCCGGCUUACCAACCCGAUGCAAACUGCGAAUACCGGAGAAUGUUAUCACGGGAGACACACGGCGGGUGCUAACGUCCGUCGUGAAGAGGGAAACAACCCAGACCGCCAGCUAAGGUCCCAAAGUCAUGGUUAAGUGGGAAACGAUGUGGGAAGGCCCAGACAGCCAGGAUGUUGGCUUAGAAGCAGCCAUCAUUUAAAGAAAGCGUAAUAGCUCACUGGUCGAGUCGGCCUGCGCGGAAGAUGUAACGGGGCUAAACCAUGCACCGAAGCUGCGGCAGCGAACGUAUCACCCAAGACAACUUUACGGAGUUGACGAUUGACGGAGCGAAGCGACGUCAAAGCGUUCAUUAAAGUCGAGUUGGCUUAGGGAUACGUUCGUUGGGUAGGGGAGCGUUCUGUAAGCCUGUGAAGGUGUGUCGUGAGGCAUGCUGGAGGUAUCAGAAGUGCGAAUGCUGACAUAAGUAACGAUAAAGCGGGUGAAAAGCCCGCUCGCCGGAAGACCAAGGGUUCCUGUCCAACGUUAAUCGGGGCAGGGUGAGUCGACCCCUAAGGCGAGGCCGAAAGGCGUAGUCGAUGGGAAACGGGUUAAUAUUCCCGUACUUGGUGUUACUGCGAAGGGGGGACGGAGAAGGCUAUGUUGGCCGGGCGACGGUUGUCCCGGUUUAAGGGUGUAGGUGUGUGUUCCAGGUAAAUCCGGUUCACUUUAACACUGAGGCGUGACGACGAGGCACUACGGUGCUGAAGCAACAAAUGCCCUGCUUCCAGGAAAAGCCUCUAAGCAUCAGGUAACAUCAAAUCGUACCCCAAACCGACACAGGUGGUCAGGUAGAGAAUACCAAGGCGCUUGAGAGAACUCGGGUGAAGGAACUAGGCAAAAUGGUGCCGUAACUUCGGGAGAAGGCACGCUGACACGUAGGUGAAGUGAUUUACUCAUGGAGCUGAAGUCAGUCGAAGAUACCAGCUGGCUGCAACUGUUUAUUAAAAACACAGCACUGUGCAAACACGAAAGUGGACGUAUACGGUGUGACGCCUGCCCGGUGCCGGAAGGUUAAUUGAUGGGGUCAGCGUAAGCGAAGCUCCUGAUCGAAGCCCCGGUAAACGGCGGCCGUAACUAUAACGGUCCUAAGGUAGCGAAAUUCCUUGUCGGGUAAGUUCCGACCUGCACGAAUGGCGUAAUGAUGGCCAGGCUGUCUCCACCCGAGACUCAGUGAAAUUGAACUCGCUGUGAAGAUGCAGUGUACCCGCGGCAAGACGGAAAGACCCCGUGAACCUUUACUAUAGCUUGACACUGAACAUUGAGCCUUGAUGUGUAGGAUAGGUGGGAGGCUUUGAAGUGUGGACGCCAGUCUGCAUGGAGCCGACCUUGAAAUACCACCCUUUAAUGUUUGAUGUUCUAACGUGGACCCGUAAUCCGGGUUGCGGACAGUGUCUGGUGGGUAGUUUGACUGGGGAGGUCUCCUCCUAAAGAGUAACGGAGGAGCACGAAGGUUGGCUAAUCCUGGUCGGACAUCAGGAGGUUAGUGCAAUGGCAUAAGCCAGCUUGACUGCGAGCGUGACGGCGCGAGCAGGUGCGAAAGCAGGUCAUAGUGAUCCGGUGGUUCUGAAUGGAAGGGCCAUCGCUCAACGGAUAAAAGGUACUCCGGGGAUAACAGGCUGAUACCGCCCAAGAGUUCAUAUCGACGGCGGUGUUUGGCACCUCGAUGUCGGCUCAUCACAUCCUGGGGCUGAAGUAGGUCCCAAGGGUAUGGCUGUUCGCCAUUUAAAGUGGUACGCGAGCUGGGUUUAGAACGUCGUGAGACAGUUCGGUCCCUAUCUGCCGUGGGCGCUGGAGAACUGAGGGGGGCUGCUCCUAGUACGAGAGGACCGGAGUGGACGCAUCACUGGUGUUCGGGUUGUCAUGCCAAUGGCACUGCCCGGUAGCUAAAUGCGGAAGAGAUAAGUGCUGAAAGCAUCUAAGCACGAAACUUGCCCCGAGAUGAGUUCUCCCUGAGACUUAGAGUCUCCUGAAGGAACGUUGAAGACGACGACGUUGAUAGGCCGGGUGUGUAAGCGCAGCGAUGCGUUGAGCUAACCGGUACUAAUGAACCGUGAGGCUUAACCUUACAACGCCGAAG
rnacentral:rRNA from 1 species